GCAUGUGUGCGGCGGCGGGGACAGGCAACCACACGCAGAUUUUGGGGAGCGACACGAUGCCAAGGGAUUAUAGGCUUAUUAUUAUAUAGCAAGCAACCGUAGGUGGUGUAGACGAACAAUGUGAGAUGAGAAAGCCACAACGCUGGGGCCCAAAGAAUCAUACUGCAGCAGCAAUAGUCAGCCCAUGAUAAAUCUCUGUUGAGUGCUCCUUUCUCUUUACCUCUUUACUCUUGUGUCUCUGACUUUGAUUUCAUAGCAUAUGUUUUUAGCUUGACACCGUGUUUGCAGAUUUGAUAAAGAAGGGUAGAUGAAGAAUCUAUCAGAAGAUUUUGUUGAACGAAACUUGCAUUUUGAUGUUAUGAGUGUAUUAAUAUAUUCUGCAGUUUUAGGAAAUUAGAUAAUAGGACCGACUAAAGGAGAAUUUCGGUUAAACUAUUUCUUUAUUUGUUUGUGCAACCAAACUUAUUUGGUUCUGAUUGCAAGAUAAUAGGACCAGCUAACGGAGAACUUUUGCUAAAAUAUUUCUUUAUUUUUUGUGCAACCAUGGUUAAUUGGUUUUGAUUGAUUGGUGGACAUGCUGAAUAAUGGUAGUGUGCAUGUGU